CUGACUCCUAAUUUGUUGUCAGAGGAUCCUGCAGUCCCUGAAGCUCAGUACUCUCAAUACCAUUGAUCUUUGUAGCUGCUGAGGAGGAUGUAGAAGAGAGGGUUCCGGUGAAUGCUGAUGCUAAAACAUACUCUGCAUGCUCAGACAAUGUCACACACUUCUUCAAUGACAUCUUAUUGAAGGACACCAAAUUAGGUCACAAAUCUAAAGCAAAACAAGCCAAGAAGCCAAUACUACCAUAUCAUCAUAUUUAUACAUUUCAGAGGAAGAAUUAGGACAACAAUAGUAUUUUUGUCCUUUUUAUCACUUCAAUCUCUUUCUCCACAGCAUACUACUUCACUGAAGUCAUUGUCUUGAUUAAUAAUCUGUAUGUCCCGUAUUUCAUGUCUUCCUAGCAAGUUUGCUAAGCCCUAAUUUUGAAUCAUUUCAGUUAGUCAUUUGUCAACUUCUACAACCAAUGAUACUGAGUCUGAUGGAGAAAAUCAUACUGCUCUGCAAAUAGAUGUUGUAGCAAAUGUAUGUUCUCCAGUCUUGGAGAUUCUCAGCUCUCUGCCCUUGCUUACUGCCAUUAUCCAAACCUCAGUGGCAAUUCCAAAGCUUUUUACUUCACCAUAUCUGCACUCUUUUGAGAAAUGUACUUUUACUCUUAUUUCACAGAGAAACCUGGGGCCAUUAUAGGUAGACUCAAUUUUCUAUACCUAAAAAUCACUUUUAU